rnacentral:tRNA from 1 species
UGCGUAGGUGGCGGAAUCGGCAGACGCACCAGACUCAGAAUCUGGCGACCACAGGUUGUGAGGGUUCGACUCCCUCCCUGCGCAU